AAGGGGAAACACAAGAGAGUCAACAUGUGACGCCAUGGGAGUAGGACGCCGGGAACUAUUGUCCGGUAACACUCCAUCACUGAAAGAGGACAGGGCAGGAACUAGAGCUCAGCAGAACUUGGAGGCAGAAACAGAGGCAGAGGCCAUGGAGGAACACUGCUUACUGGCUUGCUCUUCAAGGACUGCCAGGACCAAUUCAUCUUGCUAAAUCCGAUUCAUCUUUAGAGGUGCAAUUCGAAGGUCACCUCUUCUGCACCAGCUGUCCAGGCAUCUCCUGGAGGAGGCACGAGGUGAGUCUCUUGGUUCACCAUCAUGUGCUACUCUGAUGUGUACCACAAACCCAAAGCAAUCGCAUCAAUGGACCAAGGACGGCACCCUAUAACAUCAGAGCCCAAAUUAGCCGCUUUCCUUUGUAAGCCAGUUAUAACCCUGGAACACACUGUAUAGACCAGGCUGGCCUUGAGCUCAGAGAUGCUCCUCCUUCUAACUCUGAAGU